rnacentral:rRNA from 1 species
AGAACGAACGCUGGCGGCAUGCCUAAUACAUGCAAGUCGAACGAACUCUUCGGAGUUAGUGGCGCACGGGUGCGUAACGCGUGGGAAUCUGCCCCUUGGUUCGGAAUAACAGUUGGAAACGACUGCUAAUACCGGAUGAUGACGAAAGUCCAAAGAUUUAUCGCCAAGGGAUGAGCCCGCGUAGGAUUAGCUAGUUGGUGAGGUAAAGGCUCACCAAGGCAACGAUCCUUAGCUGGUCUGAGAGGAUGAUCAGCCACACUGGGACUGAGACACGGCCCA